AAAAAAUGUGCUUCUGAAAUGACACCUGUCAAUUCAUUGAAGGAAACAUCAAGGAGACACAACUCAGAGAGCAGUCCUAAGCUAUCUGGAAAAGUGCCAUUUAGCUUAUUUGAGCUGAGUCCAAGAUGAGCUAAAUGCUGUAAAUUUCCAAUGAAAGCAGGGACCCUUGAAGCAAGUUAUUCUGCAAAUAGAGAUGAAUAAGAUUUUUGAGGUGGCCCAGCGAGUUUGGCAAACCUCUUGUCAGGCAAUUAAAUGACAAAUCAAUUACCUGUAUGUUACAUAGGCUACCGAUGGAGCUUGGAAUCUCACCUUUGAUACCAUUCCAAGAUAAAUCAAGAUAAAACAGAGACGUCAUAUUUCCAAGGGAAGCAGGAAGUCUCCCAUGUAACUUGCUGGCAGAAAGAUCUAGAACUUCUAUCUUUUUCCAGCUUCCAAGAAAUAACUGAUAGCAACUUGCUGAGAGAUUUUCAUUGCCAUGAAG
rnacentral:misc_RNA from 1 species